AGGCCCUUCCCGCGCGGCCGACAGCCAGGGCGAGAGCGGAGGCCGCGCACAGCCAUUUAAAACUGCAUGAAUUAUAAACAAGCCGCCUUGGCCUUCGCCAUAAAUUCUGCUCUUUUUGAGCCUGCAAUUAGUGUUAGGAAGCACCGGAGUCUAAACACAACCAAACACCCUCUGAAGGGCCCAAGUGCCCGAGGUUGCAAAGCUUUAUUUAUUUCUCAUUGCCACCCCCUCCGCGGCCCGAGGUUUGCGACCACAGUCUCCUCCUCCCCCGUCACCGCCGGCGGUACGCAGCCGGCUGGGUUCCCGCUCCGCGAGGGAAGGUCACAAUAGCUGCUCUAUCGGCGGAGGCGCCCGCCUCCCCCCUCUCGGGUCUCGGGAAGGCAGAGAAAGGACGGUGGGGGAGGGGAGCUCGGGCCGGCAAUGGCGCCCCAGGCCCAGGCAGCUCCUUCUCCCGCGGAGGACCUGCAGCGGGAAGAGGCACGUCUGCAGCGGAAGGACACCGCCACUCCAGACCGAGGCUUCUUCCCGGGAGCGGCGCGCGGGCUCCGUGGGGAGCUCACCACGGUCUCGAGGAGGCUGCUCGCUGGCCCCUAGCCGCCGCGCGCUGCUGGAUCGAGGGCGCCCGCAGCAGCGGACCUUCCGGGAGCAGCGGCGCCAUUGUGAGCGCGGCUUCCCACGGGCCCCGCGGCCGGGAAGCCGCACAAAGGCGGCAAGGCGUCCGACACCCGCAGGCCAGACCCAGCGUUCUGAAGCACUGUAAACAAAAGGUUUCCACACACGAAGAACCAAGGUUAAUGGAUGUCCAGUCAUUUGCAGUAGCAGAAGCAGGUGAAGGGUUCCCAGAAGAUCAGCAUGGUGGGAGAUAUUACAGAAGUCUUCUUGUCCCAGAUCUUGUGGUAAAAUCUCUUCUUCCUGCUCAUCGCUCAGUCAUGACUCUGCUACUCUAUGGACUGUAGCCUCGCAGACUCCUCUGUCCAUGGGAUUUCCCAGGCAAGAAUAUUGGAGUGGGUUGCCAUUUCCUCCUCCAGGGGUAAGUCUCUUGAAUGGUUCCUAUAUCUAGUUGGGGUCAUUUUAUAUGGAAGAAUAAUAUCUGGAAAAUCAUGAGAAUAGGAUUUUAACAUUAGUAAGAGCCCAAAGAGGAGAUCUUAAUUGAAACCAGGAUGCAUGGAGAACCCUGGUUAUAGAGGCAGUGUUUUAGGUGGGGAAGCCGGGCUAAAAUCCGUCUAAGAGUGCCUGUUGGACCAAGGCCUUUUUGAAGGAGGCGAUGAGAGUCCCUGACUUAUGAGGAGACAGGGAGAAGGCCUUCUGAUGGCUCUACUGGUAGGAAAUCUGCCCUAAAAUACCACACCCCUCCCCAUCUCCACAAGGGCUUGAAGGCCAAAUGACCGGGAAAGUGGGUCGGUUGGGUUGAACUCCAGGCAGUGGCAGAGCCAGAACUGACCUCUUUCACCCGCGUCUGCUAACCCCUUGGGGCAGCAACGAUGCCAUCUCCGUCGCCGGCAAAAACACACAAAGGAGGCCCCCACCCAGGCUCGAACCUGGGGGCACACUGGAGAGAGGGCUGGCGUGGACCCCGAGUCGGAGAGCCUCCCACCCCCACGGGGAGCAAUAGCUGCCGCCUCCCCGGGGCAGUGGGGCGGUCGCGCCGCACAAAGGCCGGCUCGGCUAGCGCCAUGUGACGCGCGCUCGACCCGCUCUCCCGGCGGCGCGGCGGACGGGUGCGUGUUCCGACCCACCUGAACACUUUCCGAAAGACAAACGGUGAGUUAAUCACCCAACCGGCUGGCGACCGCGUCCCCCUGGCCCGCGGGGAGGCCAGGGGAGGGGCUGGGGUGAAGGCCUGCUCUGCGUGUGUGUCUAGGCUGGGGGCGGGAGAGGUUAGUUCUAUUAAGAGUUCAUCAAUCACCGGUGUGCACUUUUCGCUCGACAGCGGUUCCUCCUACUUCGGAGCAAGUCCGGGCCAGCUGGGAUCCGACCAGAAACCGCAAGCGGAGGAGACGCGGGUACGCAGGCUGAGGGUAACGGAGGGCGCGACCUGCCGCCCCGCGCUCUGCCGCGCCAGGCCCGAGGGUAGCGCCUCCCGGUCCUCCCCGCGCCAGGGACGGCAGCCGCCCAGCAGCCCCGCCCGUGGGCCAGGCAGGGCGCCGGGUGCCCGGAGCGUCCCGGCCCCACCUCCACGCCCCACCUCCGCGCACUUCCCGCUUGCCCCAGUGACACCCUUCACCGCUGCUGUCCCCCCAGUAAGGGACAAACCCGUCUCUGAGGGCAGGACGAGAGAAAACCUCAAUAGGUGGAAAGGUUCUUGCAAAUACUUUUAUUUAAGAGUUUUAUAAAGGAUGUCCCAAAGGAUCAGAAUUCAGGGGAGACGCUGAACGAGUUCUCUCAUUGACCUUCAGGACUAUUUCCUAUUUGUAUGGGAGGAAAGAGGUUAAUAACCCCUGUUGAACUUGGAACUAAACUUGAAUGCAAUUUAAAAUAACCAUUAAAAUACACUUAAAACACUAACCACAAUGAUAUGCCUCUUCUCUUUUUUGUGAUAUGAGGGAAGGCUUGGAGUAGUUGUACUUUAGCUGUUGGGGGUUCAUUUUAGAAACACCGUGAAGGAGCAGACUACAGCUGGGGGCGAGGGGCAGGCUUCAGGCAGAGCUGUUCACAGCAGGAAGGCCUGGGUGAGGGGGUGGGGAAGCACUCUUAUACCCCUCUUGAGUGGCACCCGCUGUCCUUUCGGUCAUAAAUUCUAAGAGAGUUCUGGGCUACCCUCUCUUUUUAAUUUCUGUUCUCAGUGAUAUGAGAUGGGAAGUUUCUCAAGUUAGCAUGUUGUCUCAGCCCACAGUAAAGAGCCCCUGGAGGACAGAAAGUCCCAGCUCUUGCCCUCUCCCCUCAGUCCUCUUCUCUCUCUCUCCUCUUGGGUGGCAAUAGCUUGUUUCUGGAGAAAUGUUCUACUAUCAUUUUCCUCAGAUGGAUGUAAGCUGAAGCCUUAAGACCUCCACAGUGUCCUGAACUCCUCCAGCAGUUAAAAUACUGAACCUCUUGUUCUUGGUUCAGAGUCUUCUCUCUUCAGCAGUGCCUACUGAACAGUUCCUACGUGUACUGUGCUGAGCUCUGGGAUAUAAAAAUUGAGUCACUAAUGGUGUAUGCCCUUCAGUCUGCUGGGGUAGAAAAAGAAUCCUAAGAUUAGUAUGACAGAUGCUAUAACAGAGGUGUGGCCAAAAUGUUCCUGGAAUAAAGGAUCAUAGUGUCAAAAAAGGCUUCUCA
rnacentral:lncRNA from 1 species